rnacentral:lncRNA from 1 species
UUCAUCUGUUUGCAAACCAGGUUAUUACUGACCUGUGAGUGUGUGCUUGCAGGUGCUUGAGUUCACGUAGAGAUCAACUUUCUUUCAUAGAUGUAGUUCCUGGCUGUGAGACAUAUUGGCUGAAGACUCAGCAGUGUCAAUGUAAGCAACCAAAAGGAUUAUUACACUAAGAACAAUUUGGGAAAAUACAGUCCUUGGGAAUUCCAGGCUGCAUCCAUGAUCUAACCCUAAUAACAACAGCUCCUUGGUAUUCUCUGUUGUCGCAGGCAGCUGACCUGAAGGGUUCACCAUGAGAAAGGCUGGACCAAAAUGGCAGCUCAGGACUCUACUCAGAGACCAGAUGUUCUUAUAGGGCCAACUCCUGUUUUCUUCGGCAGAAAUAAGGAAACAGUUUACUCUCCCACCAAACUUUGGCCAGUGCCAUCGACAGAGCAUAAGUACAUCUGGCUUCCCCUCUCUUCAACUAGUAAGUAUGAGUUAGAGUUUCGCUCAGCAAAUGGUCAGGUGCGGAAGUGCCUGGCACAUUGUAUAUGUUUGCUCCUUUUGUCUUUACAUGGCCACCUAACAUUCUCC